rnacentral:rRNA from 1 species
UCUGACGGCAAAUGGCAUUGUCGGAUUACUGGCAACCCGCGGAACAGUUAAACGUUCUUAUACUCAUGAGCUGAUCGCGCGUUUCGCUAAUGAAUGCCAGAUAGAAAUGCUGGGCUCGGCAGAGAUGGUUGAGUUGGCUGAAGCGAAGCUGCAUGGCGAAGAUGUUUCUCUGGAUGCACUAAAACGUAUCCUACGCCCGUGGUUAAGAAUGAAAGAGCCGCCAGAUACCGUUGUAUUGGGUUGCACCCAUUUCCCUCUACUACAAGAAGAACUGUUACAAGUGCUGCCAGAGGGAACCCGGCUGGUGGAUUCUGGCGCAGCGAUUGCUCGCCGAACGGCCUGGUUGUUAGAACAUGAAGCCCCGGAUGCAAAAUCUGCCGAUGCGAAUAUUGCCUUUUGUAUGGCAAUGACGCCAGAAGCUGAACAAUUAUUGCCCGUUUUACAGCGUUACGGCUUCGAAACGCUCGAAAAACUGGCAGUUUUAGGCUGAUUUGGUUGAAUGUUGCGCGGUCGGAAAAUUAUUUUAAAUUUCCUCUUGUCAGGCCGGAAUAACUCCCUAUAAUGCGCCACCACUGACACGGAACAACGGCAAACACGCC